GGCAGCAGUGGGGAAUAUUGCACAAUGGGGGAAACCCUGAUGCAGCGACGCCGCGUGGAGGAAGAAGGUCUUCGGAUUGUAAACUCCUGUUGUUGGGGAAGAUAAUGACGGUACCCAACAAGGAAAUGACGGCUAUCUACCUGCCAGCAGCCGCGGUAAAACGUAGGUCACAAGCGUUGUCCGGAAUUACUGGGUGUAAAGGGAGCGCAGGCGGGAAGACAAGUUGGAAGUGAAAUCGAUGGGCUCAACC
rnacentral:rRNA from 1 species